rnacentral:rRNA from 1 species
CAACUUUCAACAACGGAUCUCUUGGCUCUCGCAUCGAUGAAGAACGCAGCGAAAUGCGAUAAGUAAUGUGAAUUGCAGAAUUCAGUGAAUCAUCGAAUCUUUGAACGCACCUUGCGCCCUUUGGUAUUCCGAAGGGCACACCUGUUUGAGUGUCGUGAA